AAGUGCCUAACGCAGCAUUCUAGCUGGAAUUGAAGAUUCUAAGGAUCAGAGAGCUGUAGCAAGCCCAGGCAGCCAAGAGUGCUGGAUCAGGAUCUGUGUUUGAUCUGGAUCAGUGAGGCUGAGUUAAGCCAAGCUGCUGAGGUCUGCUGCUC